AACACAACAACUCAGAAACUUCAGUUUUGUGUCUUUAUCCCAUCCUCUCAACUCUCUCUAUAAAUAAGAUUACAAGUGCAUGCAUGUCUAUCUAUAUUUCAACAUCACAAAUAUAAAAGAAAGAACAGAAUUAAAGAGAUCGAGGAGGAAGAAGAACGUAAUUUGAAGAUACUUAAGGAGUUGGAGACUCAGAUCAUGUCCCCAACCGAAAAAGGUACGCAACAUCCGUCUACAAGUAUCAACGAGCCAAUUCUUGGGGAUGAUGUCCCAAAGGCUUCAGAUAAGGGGGACCUUCUUUCCGCCCAACGGGAAAGGGAAACAUGGAACCAUCUGAUGACGAUGAUGAGAAGAAGACCAAUGAAGGAGAGAGCAGCAAGUCUGGUGGUGUGGAUGAUGCCUAAUGAAGCAGCCGUCGAAUAAUAAAAUUAAUGUUGUCUUGAAAUAAAGUUGUUGUUGUGUCUUUCCAUGCACAUUUCGUAUUUCGAGUUUUUGUUAAUUUGGUCAAGCGACGGUCAUGUUUGUUGUUGUGUCUCAAACCUAAAUAAUGGAAUGUUUAUUUGCUAAUAUAUGGAAAACUAUGAAAAUCUAAUGCAUAUCUUAUUUGCUUAA